rnacentral:rRNA from 1 species
AGUUUGAUCCUGGCUCAGAUUGAACGCUGGCGGCAGGCCUAACACAUGCAAGUCGAACGGAAACAUGUCUAGCUUGCUAGAUGAUGUCGAGUGGCGGACGGGUGAGUAAUACUUAGGAACAUGCCUUUGGGUGGGGGAUAACUAUUGGAAACGAUAGCUAAUACCGCAUAACGUCUACGGACCAAAGGGGGCUUCGGCUCCCGCCCAGAGAGUGGCCUAAGCGAGAUUAGCUUGUUGGUGAGGUAAAGGCUCACCAAGGCGACGAUCUCUAGCUGUUCUGAGAGGAAGAUCAGCCACACUGGAACUGAGACACGGUCCAGACUCCUACGGGAGGCAGCAGUGGGGAAUAUUGCACAAUGGGGGAAACCCUGAUGCAGCCAUGCCGCGUGUGUGAAGAAGGCCUUCGGGUUGUAAAGCACUUUCAGUUGUGAGGAAAGGUUGGUAGUUAAUACCUGCCAGCUAUGACGUUAGCAACAGAAGAAGGACCGGCUAACUCCGUGCCAGCAGCCGCGGUAAUACGGAGGGUCCGAGCGUUAAUCGGAAUUACUGGGCGUAAAGCGCACGCAGGCGGUUUGUUAAGCUAGAUGUGAAAGCCCCGGGCUCAACCUGGGAAUAGCAUUUAGAACUGGCAGACUAGAGUCUUGGAGAGGGGAGUGGAAUUUCUGGUGUAGCGGUGAAAUGCGUAGAUAUCAGAAGGAACAUCAGUGGCGAAGGCGACUCCCUGGCCAAAGACUGACGCUCAUGUGCGAAAGUGUGGGUAGCGAACAGGAUUAGAUACCCUGGUAGUCCACACCGUAAACGCUGUCUACUAGCUGUUUGUGGAUUUAAUCCGUGAGUAGCGAAGCUAACGCGAUAAGUAGACCGCCUGGGGAGUACGGCCGCAAGGUUAAAACUCAAAUGAAUUGACGGGGGCCCGCACAAGCGGUGGAGCAUGUGGUUUAAUUCGAUGCAACGCGAAGAACCUUACCUACUCUUGACAUACUAGAAACUUUUCAGAGAUGAAUUGGUGCCUUCGGGAAUCUAGAUACAGGUGCUGCAUGGCUGUCGUCAGCUCGUG